AAGUUUAAUUUAACUUACUAAGCCCUAAGUAUUGGGUGAAGGCUGGCGGUUUUUUAACCGUCGGCCU
rnacentral:sRNA from 1 species